CAGGCACCCGUGUGGCCUACUACCACGAGGACCCUGCUGCCGCUAUCUGACAGCUUUGCGGCCUAAUGGCACAUUCCUGGACGCUCUUCGGCACACAAAGAACACGUGAGAGCGAUAUCUGACAGCUACAAGGCCUCCUUUCGUUCCUUCACCCAUGCGAGGAACAUUUCUGAACAAAAAGACAUUCUAACUUCUUCCGCUCACUUUGACAUCCUCGCUCACGUUCCAGCCGUCGAAGAAGGCAUCUGUUGGGACCAGUCCUGCUGCGAGCCAGGUACCCCUGAGACAGGAAUGGCAAAAGGGGGGAGCGCUCGCAGGAAGGAGGUGUCAGAAAGAAGCUGUGCUAAUGUGCUCGGUCAGUACUCAGACAUUCCCAGGAGAGCCCGCAGGGGGUCCAAAGCUUUGCAAUUAUUAUCAUGGUAGCGAGUUGGGAUUUGUUGUUGUGACAUUUCAUUAAAGGCCUACUGAAAGCCACUACU